UACCAGCACCCCGAGUGGUCGGGACGUUUAUUGGGCCUAAAGCAUCCGUAGCCGGUUCUACAAGUCUUCCGUUAAAUCCACCUGCUUAACAGAUGGGCUGCGGAAGAUACUAUAGAGCUAGGAGGCGGGAGAGGCAAGCGGUACUCGAUGGGUAGGGGUAAAAUCCGUUGAUCCAUUGAAGACCACCAGUGUCGAAGGCGGCUUGCCAGAACGCGCUCGACGGUGAGGGAUGAAAGCUGGGGGAGCAAACCGG
rnacentral:rRNA from 1 species